AUGCAUAUUUCAGGUUCUGUCACCCUGCGUGUACCUUCAUUUGGAGACAACUGCCAAUGGCCCUGCCCACCCUACUGGGGAUGUAGAUUCUCCUUGGGUUGGGGCUGGGGCUUCAACGCCUGGUACACGGCAGGGGGUGUCACUAAGCGGCGAGUGGCUGCAGCUCUCCCCUUUCUCUACCCCUCUCCCAAGGAUCCGGGGUGGCGGCUUCCAUCGUUUGUCGCCGCCCCACCGGCAGGCGGCGCCCCUCCGGCCAGCCUCCCGGCGGGGUCGCGACGGGGCGUGCGUGUUCAAAGUCGGCCCCCCGCGGACGCCCGCGCUUCCUGGCGCCAGGCGGCUAGCCGGCCGCAGCUGGGGCUUCGGGGCCGGACUCGCUGCCCCCGCCCUCCUCCUUUGAGCGCUCGGGGCGGAGCCGGGCGGGCUCGCGGGGCUCCCGCCCCUCUCUCGGCGGUCACCUGGGGCCGGGCGCAGCAGGUGUCUGGUCUGGCACCCAGCGCCGGGAACGCGGAGAGCACGCCGGAAACCGCUGCACUUCGGGUGGCCCUGGGAGGCGGCGGCUGGGUCGAACCCCGGAAUUCCGGAGGCGACCGCCAGGACCUAGCCCGCGGAGGAAGGUCCUGCGAGGAAACCGGCUCGCUCCGCCCCACCUUUUGCAAAAGACUCGGGGAUCAGAGCGGCUGCCGAGAGAAUCACGGGGAAGAGGGAACCUGCGGUUUAAACACUGUUGAAGAGACGUGA
ensembl:lncRNA